GCGGUCGUGGCGGAAUUGGUAGACGCACCAGAUUUAGGUUCUGGCGCCGUAAGGUGUGAGAGUUCAAGUCUCUCCGUCCGCACCA
rnacentral:tRNA from 1 species